GCCUCGGUAGCGCAGUAGGCAGCGCGUAAGUCUCAGAAUCUUAAGGUCGUGAGUUCGAUCCUCACCCGGGCCA
rfam:Camponotus floridanus CamFlo_1.0_3.contig6355, whole genome shotgun sequence.